rnacentral:rRNA from 1 species
CCUACGGGUGGCAGCAGUGAGGAAUAUUGGUCAAUGGUCGGGAGACUGAACCAGCCAAGCCGCGUGAGGGAUGAAGGUACAGAGUAUCGUAAACCUCUUUUGUCAGGGAACAAAGGCGGGGACGCGUCCCCGGAUGAGUGUACCUGAAGAAAAAGCAUCGGCUAACUCCGUGCCAGCAGCCGCGGUAAUACGGGGGAUGCGGGGGUAAUCCGGAUUUAUUGGGUUAAAGGGGGGCGAAGGCGGGCUGUUAUGUCAGCGGUAAAGGCCCGGGGGAAAACCCCGGCCCGCCGUUGAAACUGGCAGUCUCGAGUUGGAGAGAAGUAUGCGGAAUGCGCGGUGUAGCGGUGAAAUGCAUAGAUAUCGCGCAGAACUCCGAUUGCGAAGGCAGCAUGCCGGCUCCACACUGACGCUGAGGCACGAAAGCGUGGGUAUCGAACAGGAUUAGAUACCCUUGUAGUC